rnacentral:lncRNA from 1 species
GGGGAGCCUUCAUACAGAGAGUACACAACCCUCAGAGGUGGUCAGAGAGUUGGCACGUGGAAACUGGGAUGCUGGGUGCUGCCUUUGCCUCUGCAGCAACUCAGUUUUCUACUCUUGCUUGGCUUCUCUCUUGUUCCCUUGUGGUAUUUCCAGAUGCUUUUUCCUAUCUCCAUAAUUGCAGUCGAUUCUUGUGCUCAGAUUCAUCUGAUUUUUCAACACUAAGCUGCCUCUGAUUGUUUAAAGUGGCUUCAAGCUUCUGUUUCUCUGCUUUUUCUUCCAGAUUCUCCUGUUGUACAGCUACAGGACAUUCGCAUGAAGGUCCAGAUUUCCAGAUGUGUCCAAAGCAGAGUGUGUCCCAACAGACUUCUUUUUCACUCAUGCUGAACUAGAUAUUAUUUUUGUUUCCAGCUGCAUUAGCUCUUCUGGCUAGGCCUGAAAACUUCAGGCUGGUGCAUCAUAUAGCAUUUAGUGAACUUCUCAGUCAUUAAUCAGCACACACUGCCAUAAGGUCCUAAAAUGAUGGCUGCUUUUCGAACCUGAACAUUCAAAUCUACUUGGAUCAACCAACUCAAUUUCGAAACAGCAAUAGCUUUAUAUUCGAGAAAUAUAUUGGGAUGUUAAACAUCAAGGAAAGAGCUUGGACAUAGUAGUCCUAUAGACCACCACACUGUAGUUGCUGAAGUCCAUACCAUUAGCUAGCUAUCUUGAAAUCACCUUUAAACCACUCAAAGGCAAAACUGGUAGAAGAGUGUAUUUAUUAAAUGGAUAAAAGGCUUUGAGGUUUACAGAGGUUUAUAAUGGCACAAGACUUGCAGACAGGAAAGUCACCUUAUCAAGAGAAACCUGAACAUGUGCUGAUACACUCUCCCAAACUGGAUCUGAAGUCAGCCAGCCUGCACUUUGCCUGUAAUUUUGAGCACUCAUUAUCAUCCUAUCAGAGUUUCUGCAUGUCUGAAGAGGAGAAGUUGAGGCAACUGUGCAAAGGGGCAGCAAAGAGCAGAACCAGAUUAAGCCAGACUGAAGCACUCUGA